UCUAUGAAAAAUUCCAAGAUGCCCGAAAUGCAAACACCUCCUUUUUUUUCUCUAUGCCUCCCGUGUGUGGCACCCAGGAAAUCCAAGGUAGAUUUAGGGAAUCGUAAAAUAAAAGCAGGAGCAAGCAUUAAUUAAAGGAAUUUCCAGGAUUUUUUCGUAAUGAAAUUUGAAACAAGAAGUUCAAGUGCAUAAUACAAGUCUAAACUUAUCGAUCGAAUUCACCAUCAUCAAAUAUCAAUAAUCCAAAUGGCUCCUCAAAAGCAAUCCAACCCAGAAACAGACCCUGGCACUAUUGCAG